rnacentral:rRNA from 1 species
UGAGGAAUAUUGCACAAUGGACGCAAGUCUGAUGCAGCAACGCCGCGUGGAGGAUGAAGGUUCUUGGAUCGUAAACUCCUUUUUUCAGGGAAGACUAAAGACGGUACCUGAAGAAUAAGUCACGGCUAACUACGUGCCAGCAGCCGCGGUAAUACGUAGGUGGCAAGCGUUAUCCGGAAUUACUGGGCGUAAAGCGCACGCAGGCGGCUUUUCAAGUUCGACGUGAAAGCUCCCGGCUUAACUGGGAGAGGUCGUUGAAGACUGAGAGGCUUGAGGCAAUGAGGGGGGUGUAGAAUUCCCGGUGUAGUGGUGGAAUGCGUAGAUAUCGGGAGGAAUACCAGUGGCGAAAGCGGCACCCUAGCAUUAGCCUGACGCUCAUGUGCGAAAGCGUGGGGAGCAAACGGG